rnacentral:rRNA from 1 species
AGCGUAGACGGAUGGACAAGUCUGAUGUGAAAGGCUGGGGCUCAACCCCGGGACUGCAUUGGAAACUGCCCGCCUUGAGUGCCGGAGAGGUAAGCGGAAUUCCUAGUGUAGCGGUGAAAUGCGUAGAUAUUAGGAGGAACACCAGUGGCGAAGGCGGCUUACUGGACGGUAACUGACGUUGAGGCUCGAAAGCGUGGGGAAGCAAACA